GACGAACGCUGGCGGCGUGCUUAACACAUGCAAGUCGAACGGAAAGGCCCUGCUUUUGUGGGGUGCUCGAGUGGCGAACGGGUGAGUAACACGUGAGUAACCUGCCCUUGACUUUGGGAUAACUUCAGGAAACUGGGGCUAAUACCGGAUAGGAGCUCCUGCUGCAUGGUGGGGGUUGGAAAGUUUCGGCGGUUGGGGAUGGACUCGCGGCUUAUCAGCUUGUUGGUGGGGUAGUGGCUUACCAAGGCUUUGACGGGUAGCCGGCCUGAGAGGGUGACCGGCCACAUUGGGACUGAGAUACGGCCCAGACGCCUACGGGAGGCAGCAGUGGGGAAUAUUGCACAAUGGGCGGAAGCCUGAUGCAGCAACGCCGCGUGCGAGAUGACGGCCUUCGGGUUGUAAACCGCUUUCGCCGGUGACGAAGCGUGAGUGACGGUAAUGGGUAAAGAAGCACCGGCUAACUACGU
rnacentral:rRNA from 1 species